CUGCACCCUUUGCAAAUAUCCACGCAAUGCGGGAGAAAGAAGAAGCGCAGGAGGGGUCAGGGUUCAGGUACAGGAGCUCGGAAACACUGCUGCUGGACCAUGAGCCCUUGCUUUACUUGGGAUGAUCCAAAGGGACAGAGGACACGGAGCAGGAAUCGUCCUCGUCAUCCCGGGCUUUGGUGGCAAUCAGUUGGCUUGACUCCAAUUCCCCAGAGCUGCAGACCUUUCCGCAUGUUCCUGGCCAUUCCUAUCACCUGCAACAGGAAAGCCCACUUCCCACUGAGGCUGAAUGUGGCUGUGACAUGCUCUGGUGAGCCCAGCUACAAAACACCAAGACGGACCAGGAAGGAGGGACUCUGCUCUUUCUAGGAGCAAAGCAAUGAUGGGUGAGUCACUAACGCUUCGGGGCAAAGCUUUCCAGCAUCAGCAGAAUGUUAAAGCUCUAUCAAGUAAGACGUGCCGGAAACA